rnacentral:misc_RNA from 1 species
GAUGAAGAACGCAGCGAAAUGCGAUAAGUAAUGUGAAUUGCAGAAUUCAGUGAAUCAUCGAAUCUUUGAACGCACCUUGCGCCCUUUGGCUAUUCCGAAGGGCAUGCCUGUUUGAGUAUCAUGAACACCUCAACUCUCAUGGUUUGCCAUGAUGAGCUUGGACUUGGGGGUUUUGCUGGCCUUCGGUCGGCUCCUCUCAAACGGAUCAGCUUUCCAGUGUUUGGUGGCAUCACGGGUGUGAUAACUAUCUACGCCUGUGGUUUUCUGCCAGAUAACCUUCAGCGAUGGAGGUUCGCUGGGGCUCAUAAAUGUCUCUCUUCAGUGGAGACAGCUUUUUGGACGUUUGAUCUCAAAUCAGGUAGGACUACCCGCUGAACUUAAGCAUAUCAAUAAGCGGAGGA